rnacentral:rRNA from 1 species
GACCUGGCUCAGGACGAACGCUGGCGGCGCGCCUAACACAUGCAAGUCGAACGAGCGAGAGAGAGCUUGCUUUCUCAAGCGAGUGGCGAACGGGUGAGUAACGCGUGAGGAACCUGCCUCAAAGAGGGGGACAACAGUUGGAAACGACUGCUAAUACCGCAUAAGCCCACGGCUCGGCAUCGAGCAGAGGGAAAAGGAGCAAUCCGCUUUGAGAUGGCCUCGCGUCCGAUUAG